AAAGAGAAGCCCGAAGAGGCUGAAGUUUCCACGGAGGGCACCGUCGGGGAGACGCAGCCCGGGAGGACGGGAGGGUUGGGCUCGCUACCUCUGCACACGGGCGAGCCGGGGCUCCGUCUCUCAGCAUGUGACACCUUCUGCCAUGGGAUGAUGCCACAAGAAGAACCUCACCAACUGCUGGCACCUUGAUAGUGGACUUCACAGCCUCCAGAACUGUGAGCCAGGAAAAAUGUAUGACUGCAAAUUUGGAAACUAGACAGGAUCUGCCAAUACAGGGCAGAAUGUUAAAAAGAGGAUGAAUUUUGAUUUCAGAAAAUUUAGAAGAAAAUGGAUUUCUCAGGCAACUGAAAGAACAUAUUUGGAUCUGUUAAGACUAAGGGAGGCUUCAAGAGAACAGGACUUUGUGUUGGACAGACUAUCUGUGACAGGGAAAAAACCCCUUCUCAAUGAUUAGGGACGAAUCAGUUAACUGGCUUGAGUUUCACAUUCUUCAUCUGUAAAAUCUGGUGAUUAGACUGGCCCAGCAAAAGAUAUAAUACACAUAAAUUGGAAUGAAUCUGCAUUUUCCAAGCCUGAUGAAUUUAUUAAAACUGAAUUAAGUCACUAACUGGCAGCCUGAAGAUGCAAGGAAAGAACUGAGUCAUGCUUCUUAAGGUAAAAGGGCAGUCUAACUGAGAAUUUUGUUAUCUCUGAGGACAAAUUACAAGGAGAUAAAGACACUCAAGAUCACAUGGAAGGCUUCUGCUCCCACUUAGAGACUGCAAUGUAAGCAACGGAGACAAAGGGGAUUUUCCUGAGCAGCGUCAGUAACAAAGAAAUGAGGCAAAUUAUUAAGAAACUGAUGGGCAUUCAUUGAAGAGCAACAAAUAUGAUUUAUAAGUCUGAAGGGACUGCCUUCAGAGGGAAGACGAAAGAGACAAGUCUCCCAGCAUUACCACGUGGCUCUAACGGGACUGGCUCAUCGGUCACAAGUACUUGAAGGGUGUAAAUAGCGGGCACAGAGAGAAAUUAUUUAGUGUCCAAGGAGACAGCAGGAAGAGUGAUGGAAAUGAAAGUCAAAACAAAGAUGAUUUAGGCAGCUGAACGAAUCACAUGCCCUAAUGGAGGGAUCUAUUAUAGGCUGUACGGCAUCAUCCCUUGGGAAGGGUGGAAACCCCAUCACUUGCGCCAUUUACAAUUGGAAAAGGCAUUAAAAAGUAGAUCGGCAUGUCGGAGAGGGAAAAAACACCACAGGUCCUCAGAGAAUCAGUGGGAUGACUUAAUAGGUCUUCUCCAUCUCAAAUUACUGUGAUGUAGUUUGUAUGCUUGGGGACCUGAGGUGCUAGAAUAAUUUUUCCAUCAUUUGGGCUUCUUUACUAUUACUACAAGUCCUCGUUGAAGAAAUGAUAACGGGUCAUGGAAUGCAGUUUCUGCAUUGUAAGUGGAAGCCCACAGUGUACUGAUGCUUUAGCAUGAAGGCAGAACUGACUACGAUAAGUUUCGCAUUGUGACGUCAGUGUAAAUAAAUACAAACAUAAUACCAAUGAAGUCCCAAAACAACAUACAUAUAUUGAUUGAGACCAAAGGCAGAGGGAAAGGACCUUUGUCACAGAUGGUGGCUGACUAAAUGAAAAUUCAAGUCGUUUAUUCUCUCAUCUAGAAAAAUACAUGUCUAAAUACUUAAAGUCUAUCUUUACAAAAAAAGAAAAAAAAAUGGCCUUAAAACUAUCAAGAAACAUUUACUGUGUAGGAACUUUAGGACCCAUAUUUUGAAUGUGUGCUGUAUUUCUGUCCACAGCUGCAGUUGUAAUUAGCAACUGACACAUUCUGAAACCCAUGGUGGCCCAGAAGAGCACAUAUGUGCACAGGCUGUGCCAACCUGGGGCAAUAACUGCAACUGAAAGGAACGGGCAUAGCUUGGUCAGAUGGAAACUGGGGCAGGCAGAGAAGGGCUGGUGUUACUGUGAUUACUAGAAGGAGCACAGCUGUGACCAUCUCAACCCUUCUCAGCCAGAGGAUGACACGGAAGCAGGGGACAAAAAUGGCAAGAGGGUGACAGGAGGGAGAGGCAGCGAGAAAGAAAGCAAAAGAAUCCAGAGAGGGAAACCCACAGAUGCAAGCUCUUCGCAGGUGGAGGAUAUCACAGAUCCUGAUAAAAAUAUUGUAUGUGGUUGAGCACAAGUGAAACUUGGCGUUCUAGAAGACUGAAGUUUGCAACAAACAAAUUCAGGGUUUGACCUACACCUGACAGAUAUAGGUCAACCCUCAUCCUGCUGCUCUCAGCAGCUGUAGCCAAUAGGAGACAGUGCUGCCCAGCAUGCCGGUUUAAGCUGCUGCUAAUAGAGGGAAAUCAACCUAACCCCAUAUUUCCUGCUUCUGCAGUCCUCACUUGUCUAUUCAUGGCCAACUCAGGCACAGGCAGAGCUCCUGGCUUGCUGUAACUGCUGGAUGAUUGAUAAGUGGAAUCUGGUGCUAGCAUAUAUAUUCCCACCUCAUCUAGCUAAAAAAUCUGUUGUAAAGCCUUUUAAGGAAGGACCAUUAAAAUUCAAUAUUCCCUCAUUAACCUAAAUGUUUUCUUAAAUUCAUAUAACCAGAAGAGACUUACUAAUUCUUCACACCAACAGAACUUUAGAGAUGUUUAGAGAGAGGAAAUUCCGUGACAAAGGCCUAUUUUUGAAAGGAUACAGCAGAAGUUGAGUGACUUAUCCCAUGUUACUUAGAGGAACCAGUUAAGGCAGAAAGAGAACUGACGGAGUGGUCUAAGUGAGGAAAUUAUGAAAUUAAAUCUGAAGAAAGAACAUCAUCACCAAAUCACAUUGGGUUAAAUAUCUAUUGGCAAUCCCAGUUCAGUAACACACAUUCCUUUAUCCUACAUGUUCAGACUAGUGUUAAAAGCCGGGCGCGGUGGCUCAAGCCUGUAAUCCCAGCACUUUGGGAGGCCGAGACGGGCGGAUCACGAGGU